UACAGAGGGUGCGAGCGUUAAUCGGAAUUACUGGGCGUAAAGCGUGCGUAGACGGUUAUUUAAGUCGGGUGUGAAAGCCCCGGGCUCAACCUGGGAAUUGCAUUCGAGACUGAAUAGCUAGGGUACGGUAGAGGGAAGCGGAAUUUCCGGUGUAGCGGUGAAAUGCGUAGAUAUCUGGAGGAACACCGGUGGCGAAGGCGGCGUCCUGGACCAACACCGACACUGAUGAGCGAAAGCCAGGGGAGCAAACGGG
rnacentral:rRNA from 1 species